GUGAGGAAUUUUCCGCAAUGGGCGAAAGCCUGACGGAGCAAUGCCGCGUGAAGGAUGAAGGCCUAUGGGUUGUAAACUUCUUUUUUUAGAGAAGAAUAUUGACGGUAUCUGAGGAAUAAGCAUCUGCUAACUCUGUGCCAGCAGCCGCGGUAAGACAGAGGAUGCAAGCGUUAUCCGGAAUGAUUGGGCGUAAAGCGUCUGUAGGUGGCUUCAAAAGUCUCCUGUCAAAGAUCAGGGCUUAACCCUGGGCCGGCAGGAGAAACUCUGAGGCUAGAGUUUGGUAGGGGCAGAGGGAAUUCCCGGUGGAGCGGUGAAAUGCGUAGAGAUCGGGAGGAACACCAAAGGCGAAAGCACUCUGCUGGGCCACAACUGACACUGAGAGACGAAAGCGAGGGGAGCAAAAGGGAUUAGAUACCCUUGUAGUCC
rnacentral:rRNA from 1 species